rnacentral:lncRNA from 1 species
GAGCCGGGCUAGAACAGAGAGCACACACUUGUGCUAGGAGAAAGUUUGGAAGCUAUUCUUUAGACAUUAAUUGAUCAAUCUUGUGGGACAGUGCAUAUACUUUGUCAGAUAGACCUAUGGACUGGCUAACUUCAUAUAUGGUCCCUUUUCUUUGAGAACUCGGGGGUGCUUGACGAGCGGAGGAGGCAUGGUGGAGGGAAUUUUCAUUGAGGUUUUCAAACAACUGCCAUGCCUCAUGCUCACUCUUAAGCAUGAAAGUUCCCCCAUAAGAAGCAUCAACCAUCUGACGGUUUCGUUCAGACAACCCGUCAUAAAAGAAUUACACUAAUUGUCAUUUGGGUAUUUGAUGAUGCGGGCAUUUUCGGAGUAAAUCUCUAAAUUUUUUCCAAGUUUCAUGAAAUUCUUCCUCGUCAGAUUGGAAGAAGCUCGUGA